ACACAGGGCUGAGUCUCUGGGGAAGGCAGAGCUGUGGUCUAGAAGAAGAUGAGGCUGCUGGGUCUUCUCCUGUGCCUGGUGACAGCCCCCCAAGGUGUCCUGUCCCAGGUACAGCUGCAGGAGUCGGGCACAGGACUGGUGAAGCCCUCGCAGACCCUGUCCCUCACCUGCACAGUCUCUGGAUUCUCUUUAAGCAGCUAUGGUGUACACUGGAUACGCCAGGCUCCUGGAAAGGUGCUGGAGUGGGUUGGUGUUGUGUGGGGUGGUGGAAGCACAGCCUAUAACCCAACGCUUAAGUCCCGCCUCAGCAUCACCAAGGAAACCUCCAAGAGCCAAGUUUAUUUAACACUGAAGAGCCUGACAGCUGAGGACAUGGCCGUGUAUUACUGUGCGA